rnacentral:rRNA from 1 species
UACGAAGGGGGCUAGCGUUGCUCGGAAUCACUGGGCGUAAAGCGCACGUAGGCGGGUUGUUAAGUCGGGGGUGAAAUCCUGGAGCUCAACUCCAGAACUGCCUUCGAUACUGGCGACCUUGAGUCCGGGAGAGGUGAGUGGAACUCCGAGUGUAGAGGUGAAAUUCGUAGAUAUUCGGAAGAACACCAGUGGCGAAGGCGGCUCACUGGCCCGGUACUGACGCUGAGGUGCGAAAGCGGUGGGGAGCAAACGGG